AUUCAGAACAGCCUCAUGAUGUGAGCAACAUGAUUUCAUGUAACAAAUGAAGAUGGAUCACAUGGUUAGGAAAAGGCAGAACUGGAACUCCAACUGAGGUCCUCUUUUCAAAAAAGCACUAGUGGAGAGUCCAGAGUUGUGUUGGAGCUUGGGUUAUAGGCAAUCUUCCAAGAUCCCUGAAAUCCACUCCAGCCCCCGAGGUCCACUCUGGAAGAAUAUCAGGGUUUGUGCCCCAGAUGGAGAUGCUGUUCCCUGGCUCAGCAACUGACUGGACCACUGCCAGUCCUACUCUUUCCCCUGGGCACCAUUCUGGCCAGCAUUCCUGGAGGUGAAACAAGCAACCAGGCCCAGAGUAAGUCCUGGCUCACCUCUCCUCUACAGACCAGAGGGAAAGGAGGUGAGUGCAAGAAGGGGCAGGAAGAGGGGCGUGAUGGAGGCUGCCAGCCCUC
rnacentral:lncRNA from 1 species